GUCGUCGGUAGUGUUCGUUGGUCCGUAUCGAUUCAAUUAUUCAACCCUCCACGCCUUCACCUCACCACCAUUCUCGGUCAGGUGUUCUAAUAUUACAUUGGGUGUAAUGUAAGUACACGCCGGAUGUGAUACAGCAUCACGAUAAAUAUUACUAUCAUUAUCAUUUGUGUGUGUACUGUUAUGCCUACGAGCCUCGGUAUUACGGUCCAACGACUCUAAUCGACAAAAAAACUAUACGGGGGUUGAAGUAGUUUGAAGACGAUGCAACCCCAUCACACGGUAAUACAUCUGAUUUCACCUGGAAUUUGCGAU